rnacentral:tRNA from 1 species
GGAGAGGUCGCAUAAUGGUUAUUGCAAGAGUUUGCUAAACUCUGACGGCGCAAGCUGUCUUGUGGGUUCAAAUCCCACCCUCUCCG